GCCCGUUUAGCUCAGUGGUAGAGCGCGCCACUCGUAUAACUCGGUUCCGACCGGGUUACGGGGAAUGGUGAGGUCGGUUGUUCAAUCCAGCCAAUGGGCA